AGUGAACGCUGGCGGUGGGCCUAACACAUGCAAGUCGAACGGCAGCACAGUAAGAGCUUGCUCUUACGGGUGGCGAGUGGCGGACGGGUGAGGAAUACAUCGGAAUCUACUUUUUCGUGGGGGAUAACGUGGGGAAACUUACGCUAAUACCGCAUACGACCUACGGGUGAAAGCAGGGGAUCUUCGGACCUUGCGCGAUUGAAUGAGCCGAUGUCGGAUUAGCUAGUUGGCGGGGUAAAGGCCCACCAAGGCGACGAUCCGUAGCUGGUCUGAGAGGAUGAUCAGCCACACUGGAACUGAGACACGGUCCAGACUCCUACGGGAGGCAGCAGUGGGGAAUAUUGGACAAUGGGCGCAAGCCUGAUCCAGCCAUACCGCGUGGGUGAAGAAGGCCUUCGGGUUGUAAAGCCCUUUUGUUGGGAAAGAAAAGCAGCAGGUUAAUACCCCGCUGUUCUGACGGUACCCAAAGAAUAAGCACCGGCUAACUUCGUG
rnacentral:rRNA from 1 species